CUGGUGAAGAAAGACAGUGGGUGGUUGACCUUCCUUAAGGAGACCCCCAAGUUCUAGUUUGGCAACAUAGUGGUGGAGAUCCUCUUGCUGCACAGUGUUGGUGUCUAUGUGGCUUAAUAGUAUGCUGGACCACCUAAGGUGCAGCAAGGCAUCAAAGACUACUCCAACUGGACUACCAUCCUGAAAGGGGUACCUCAAUGGCAAAUUUGUGGGACACUGUGACAUCCUUUUGAAGAUGCACCAGAAUAAAGACUCAAGAGAAGAAUUGAAAAACUGGGGAUUGGCUCUUUCCUGAUAAAUGAGAAAAAGACCAAGACAU
rnacentral:lncRNA from 1 species